AUUGAACGCUGGCGGCAGGCCUAACACAUGCAAGUCGAACGAGUGGCGGACGGGUGAGUAAUGUCUGGGAAACUGCCUGAGGGAGGGGGAUAAAUAGUGGAAACGGUAGCUAAUACCGCAUACCAUCAGAUGUGCCCAGAUGGUAUUAGCUAGUUGGUGGGGUAACGGCUCACCAAGGCUACGAUCCCUAGCUGGUCUGAGAGGAUGACCGGCCACACUGGAACUGAGACACGGUCCAGACUCCUAUGGGAGGCAGCAGUGGUGAAUAUUGCACAAUGGGCGCAAGCCUGAUGGAGCCAUGCCGCGUGUAUGAAGAAGGCCUUCGGGUUGUAAAGUACUUUCAGCGGGGAAGCGUUACCCGCAGAAAAAGCACCGGCUAACUCCGUGCCAGCAGCCGCGGUAAUUC
rnacentral:rRNA from 1 species